rnacentral:rRNA from 1 species
AUUGAACGCUGGCGGCAGGCCUAACACAUGCAAGUCGAGCGAGAGGCGGACGGGGGAGUAAUGUAUGGGGAAUGCCAGAUAGAGGGGAUAACAACUGGAAACGGUAGCUAAUACCGCAUACUAUCGGAGAAACCAGAUAGGAGUAGAUAGUAGGUGAGGUAAUGGCUCACCUAGGCGAAGAUCCCUAGCUGGUCUGAGAGGAUGAUCAGCCACACUGGGACUGGUACACGGCCCAGACUCCUACGGAGGCAGCAGUUGGGAAUAUUGCACAAGGGGCGCAAGCCUGAUGCAGCCAUGCCGCGUGUAUGAAGAAGGCCCUAGGGUUGUAAAGUACUUUCAGUCGGGAGGCGUUACCGACAGAAGAAGCACCGGCUAACUCCGUGCCAGCCGCCGCGGUAAUUC